AACGAACGUUAGCGGCGCGCCUAACACAUGCAAGUCGAACGCGACAGGGGCAACUCUGUUGAGUGGCGCACGGGUGAGUAACACGUAGGUAAUCUCCCCCCGAGUGGUGGAUAACCUUCCGAAAGGAGGGCUAAUACAGCAUAAGACCACGGCUUCGAAAGGAGCUGAGGUCAAAGCGGAGGAUCGCAAGACUUCGCGCUUGGGGAUGAGCCUGCGGCCCAUCAGGUAGUUGGCGGGGUAACAGCCCACCAAGCCUGAGACGCGUAGCUGGUCUGAGAGGAUGAUCAGCCACACUGAACUGAGACACGGUCCAGACUCCUACGGGAGGCAGCAGUGGGGAAUCUUGCGCAAUGGACGAAAGUCUGACGCAGCGACGCCGCGUGGGUGAUGAAGGCCUUCGGGUUGUAAAGCCCUGUGGGGAGGGACGAAUAAGUUUCAGCUAAUACCUGAAGCGAUGACGGUACCUCCUUAGCAAGCACCGGCUAACUCUGUGCCAGCAGCCGCCGUAA
rnacentral:rRNA from 1 species